rnacentral:rRNA from 1 species
UUCGCAAUGCCCGAAAGGGUGACGAAGCGACGCCGCGUGUGGGAAGAAGGCCUUCGGGUUGUAAACCACUGUUGGGAGUUAGGAAGUGUGGAGGUGUUAAUAGCGCUUUCACUUGACUAAAGCUCCAGAGGAAGCCACGGCUAACUCUGUGCCAGCAGCCGCGGUAAUACAGAGGCGGCAAGCGUUGUUCGGAAUUAUUGGGUGUAAAGAGCACGUAGGCGGCUCUGCAAGUCAGCUGUGAAAGCCUUCUGCUUAACGGAAGAACGGCAGUUGAAACUACAGGGCUUGAGUGCGGGAGGGGAGAGUGGAACUUCUGGUGGAGCGGUGAAAUGCGUAGAUAUCAGAAGGAACGCCGGCGGCGAAAGCGGCUCUCUGGUCCGUAACUGACGCUGAGUGUGCGAAAGCUAGGGGAGCAAACGGGAUUAGAUACCCCGGUAGUCCUAGCCGUAAACGAUGGGCACUAAGUAGAGGGGUU